rnacentral:rRNA from 1 species
AGUGGCGGACGGGUGAGUAACGCGUGAGAAUCUGCCUUCAGGAUGGGGAUAACAGUGGGAAACCACUGCUAAUACCCAAUAUGCCGAAAGGUGAAAAUUAUUUUGCCUGAAGAGGAGCUCGCGUCUGAUUAGCUAGUUGGUGGGGUAAAAGCUUACCAAGGCAACGAUCAGUAGCUGGUCUGAGAGGAUGAGCAGCCACACUGGGACUGAGACACGGCCCAGACUCCUACGGGAGGCAGCAGUGGGGAAUUUUCCGCAAUGGGCGAAAGCCUGACGGAGCAAUACCGCGUGAGGGAGGAAGGCCUUUGGGUUGUAAACCUCUUUUCUCAGGGAAGAAGAUCUGACGGUACCUGAGGAAUAAGAUCGGCUAACUCCGUGCCAGCAGCCGCGGUAAUACGGAGGAUGCAAGCGUUAUCCGGAAUUAUUGGGCGUAAAGCGUCCGCAGGUGGUUUUUCAAGUCUGCUGUCAAAGACCAGAGCUCAACUCUGGGCCGGCAGUGGAAACUGGGAAACUAGAGUUCGGUAGGGGUAGCGGGAAUUCCCAGUGUAGCGGUGAAAUGCGUAGAUAUUGGGAAGAACAUCGGUGGCGAAGGCGCGCUACUGGACCGAAACUGACACUCAGGGACGAAAGCUAGGGUAGCGAAAGGGAUUAGAUACCCC